rnacentral:rRNA from 1 species
AUUGAACGCUGGCGGCAUGCCUUACACAUGCAAGUCGAACGGUAACGGGCCUUAGGGUGCCGACGGGCGGCGAAGGGGGGAGUAAUACAUCCGCACGUGCCCGAUCGUGGGGGGUAACGCGGCGAAACCUUUAAUCAUAACGCAUACGGUCUACGGAUGAAAGCAGGGAGCCGCAAGGGCUUAUGCGGGCUGCGCGGCCGGUGGCAGAUUAGGUAGCUGGUGGGAUACAAGCUUACCAAGUCGACGCUCAGUAGCUGGUCUGAGAGGAUGAUCAGCCACACUGGGACUGAGACACGGCCCAGACUCCUACGGGAGGCAGCAGUGGGGAAUUUUCGACAAUGGGCGAAAGCCUGAUCCAGCAAAGCCGCGUGGAGGAUGAAGGUCUUCGGAUUGUAAACCGCUUUUGUUCGGAACGAACAGCCUUCUUUUAAAACAGGCGCGUCAUGACGGUACCGUAAGAAAAAGCACCGGCUAACUACGUG